AUUGAAAUCAUAUGAAUGGUAUAUUUUCUUGCAACAUGUGUAAUUAAUACCAAAGCACCUACACAUGUUACAAGAAAAUAUACGGUUUAUAUGAUUUCAGUU
rnacentral:pre_miRNA from 1 species